UCCCUGGUGGCUCAGAUGGUAAAGAACCUGCCUGCAGUGCAGGAUACCCAAGUUCAAAUCUUGGGUCGGGAA
rfam:Ovis aries breed Texel chromosome 13, whole genome shotgun sequence.